rnacentral:rRNA from 1 species
AUUGAACGCUGGCGGUAUGCCUUACACAUGCAAGUCGAACGGUAGAGGGGCAACCCUUGAGAGUGGCGAACGGGUGAGUAAUACAUCGGAACGUGCCCAGUCGUGGGGGAUAACGUAGCGAAAGCUACGCUAAUACCGCAUACGACCUGAGGGUGAACGCGGGGGAUCGCAAGACCUCGCGCGAUUGGAGCGGCCGAUGGCAGAUUAGGUACUUGGGGGGGUGAACGCGUACCAAGCCUGCGAUCUGUAGCUGGUCUGAGAGGACGACACGACACAAUGGGGCUGAGCCACGGCACAGACUCGUACGCGAGGCAGCAGUGGGGAAUUUCGGACAAUGGGCGAAAGCCUAAUCCAGCCAAACCGCGUGCGGGAAGAAGGCCUUCGGGUUGUAAACCGCUUUUGUCAGGGAAGAAAUCUUCUGGGUUAAUACCGCGGGAGGAUGACGGUACCUGAAGAAUAAGCACCGGCUAACUACGUGCCAGCCGCCGCAGUAAGAC